rnacentral:misc_RNA from 1 species
UUAAAAUCGAAAUUGGUCUUUGGCAUUUGAUUUGAUGAACUAUUUGGCUAUUUCAUUCAUUUUUUCCUUAAUCAACCUUUAGAAAAAGAUUCUUUUUUUCGUAUCUAUAAACCGAGAGAAAUUUUGUUAAUAUAACAGCAGAGUAAAAGUAGAUACACCAAAUAAACAUAUAGGCAAAGCCAAGUAAAGAAAGAGCCACCUAAAGAUGAAAGAAAAACCUGCAGCAACCUAACUAAGACAAAAUAUCAAACACCAUAAAGGCAAGUAGUCAACCCAAAAGAACUGACACAAAACCAAAAAAGGAAGAAAACAACAAAACCAAAACCAAAUUUUGCAACAGCAAUAUAUGCAUGAACAAUUAACAUUAGCUAGCGAAGAAAAAUAUAAAUCCGACAUAGAUUUAAAUAUAUAAAUCCUAACACAUGUUCAGAUAACUCUAAAAUAUCUAUUAUAUUAGUUUCACUAAUCUAGAAACAAUCACAUGUAAUUAACAUAAAUUAUGUCUAUAAAUCAUAGUCUUAGUGGACCUUAUAUUACAAAAUCAAAUUGCUCCACAACUUAAUCUGCUUAACUCCAUCCUUAAUCUGAUCAAAACUCUUCCACCAAUUUCUUUUACUCAUACUCUAUGGGAAGCUAACAAUUUUGCAAAUCAUUUGGCAAAAGUAGAGAGGAUUUUAUAGCCUUCCUAUAGAUGAUGUUUUGUCUAUCAUUAGUGAUUCAUGACGCUAUUUACAUUUGAUCCUUGUCGGCAAAUUGCUUUAUUUGUUUCAGUUGGCGAGUUGCUUUGAAAUCUCGAGGCCCCUACACUUAACUCUUGUGCACUUAUGUUGCAAAUUAAUUUUCUCUUCUUUGAUUUUAGCUUCAUUAUCUUCAACUUCUGGGAGCUCCUUGCCAUCUUGCUUGAGACCAUUGCUAGGAGAGCUAAGUGGAACAAAGGGGUCUGAACUAUAUGUCUUAUGGGCUUGAUCUACACUUUCGCAUGGUGUUUCUUCUUGAAUCCUGUGGUUUGCCAUUUGAUCACUCUCAAAGGCAGCUCUACUCUUUGCUUUGGCUAAAUUUUUAUGCACAGGAUGCCCUAAUGUGACAGUCUUAAAGGCCUGCGCUGUUAGAAUUUUCACAAUGAAGUUGUAGAGCCUGUUGCAAAUGCCAAGGGUUUGAAACUGGGGCUCUCUUUGAUCCAUUUAUUGGACUCUGUAAAACUUUAAUGUAAUUUCAGAAGUUGAUAUAUAUGAAUAGAAUGGGGAUGGAAGAUUUUGAUAAUAGUGGGUUUAUUUGGAUGCUUUUCUUGAAAGUAGAGGCACAU